rnacentral:lncRNA from 1 species
AAUUGCUAUUAUUCCAUGCCCAACACUAAAUAAAUAUUUGGUGCCCAUAACUUUGACCUUUCCAAGGUAUGGGUAGGUAUGGGCAAGGAAUGGGUAUAUUCUAAUAAUCUCCACAUUGAAGAUUUGAUUAGGAUAAUCUUAUCUUCACACAAUUCUUUCUGCCUUUGACAACAAUACUUGAUAGUGCCUUCUUCAACUGUUAAACUUGCAGGAUAUUGAUCAAGUU